GUAGCGGGGGAUAACUAUUGGAAACGAUAGCUAAUACCGCAUAACAAUGGAUGACACAUGUCAUUUAUUUGAAAGGGGCAAUUGCUCCACUACAAGAUGGACCUGCGUUGUAUUAGCUAGUAGGUGAGGUAAUGGCUCACCUAGGCGACGAUACAUAGCCGACCUGAGAGGGUGAUCGGCCACACUGGGACUGAGACACGGCCCAGACUCCUACGGGAGGCAGCAGUAGGGAAUCUUCGGCAAUGGGGGCAACCCUGACCGAGCAACGCCGCGUGAGUGAAGAAGGUUUUCGGAUCGUAAAGCUCUGUUGUAAGUCAAGAACGGGUGUGAGAGUGGAAAGUUCACACUGUGACGGUAGCUUACCAGAAAGGGACGGCUAACUACGUGCCAGCAGCCGCGGUAAUACGUAGGUCCCGAGCGUUGUCCGGAUUUAUUGGGCGUAAAGCGAGCGCAGGCGGUUUGAUAAGUCUGAAGUUAAAGGCUGUGGCUCAACCAUAGUUCGCUUUGGAAACUGUCAAACUUGAGUGCAGAAGGGGAGAGUGGAAUUCCAUGUGUAGCGGUGAAAUGCGUAGAUAUAUGGAGGAACACCGGUGGCGAAAGCGGCUCUCUGGUCUGUAACUGACGCUGAGGCUCGAAAGCGUGGGGAGCGAACAGGAUUAGAUACCCUGGUAGUCCACGCCGUAAACGAUGAGUGCUAGGUGUUGGAUCCUUUCCGGGAUUCAGUGCCGCAGCUAACGCAUUAAGCACUCCGCCUGGGGAGUACGACCGCAAGGUUGAAACUCAAAGGAAUUGACGGGGGCCCGCACAAGCGGUGGAGCAUGUGGUUUAAUUCGAAGCAACGCGAAGAACCUUACCAGGUCUUGACAUCCCGAUGCUAUUUCUAGAGAUAGAAAGU
rnacentral:rRNA from 1 species